rnacentral:lncRNA from 1 species
UUUUUUUUUUUUUUUUUUUUUUUUUUAGCAACAGGGGUCACCUUAUGUUGACCAGGCUGGUCUCAGACUCCUGGACUCAGCUGAUCCUCCCACCUUGGCUUCCCAAAGUGCUAGGAUUACAGGAAUGAGCCACUGUGCCUGGCUGAUUUUAAAAAUAGUAUUCAGUGGAACAACAUACUUUCAGAAAUGCUAGCUCAGGCCAAUAGAAGAAUACUGCAGAAAUAGAUUUAUUAUUUUCCUCUGACUCAAGAGGGAAAAGCUAAUCUUCAAGCUUAUUUGACCAAACCUUAUAUUUUAAAUAAUAUGAAGCAUUAAGUUUUUAUCAAAAGUACAUAGGAUUUGGAACCAGGAGAUGAGCUCUCUUCUAACUAGCUGUGUGACUUUGGGCAAAGAUCACUUUAAUCUUUUCUAAUCCAAUGUCUUUCCUACAGCUGCAGAAGCAGAAAUCCCCUGGCUAGAGUUCUUUGUGGUAGAUGAAUUGAAGUGCACUUGAAUAACAUAUAAUUAAAGAGAAUACAAAUGUUGAUUGGAAAUCCCCAGACUGUCCAGUGAGAAAAUCCCUUGAAUUUUCCUGGUUCUUGUUUUUUGAGUGCUGACCACAUUUUGGUGUUGGGCUUGGUUCAAGUGUCGCCAAAGGCAGGGUCAGGUUAAAGGUGCACACUUGCUGAGGCAAAUCAGGAAAGUCAAUGAAGGGCGCACUCUGUAGGCCUGCGCUAUGGCUGUGCUCACUCAGAUAGCCCCUUCUCAACCAGGCUUAUGGGGGUAAUUGUGGGAAAAAAAAAAGAAGCAGGGAGGGAUCUUUAAAGAACCCCAAAAGUUAUAAAAAUCCAGAAUAAUCUAGAUUAUUAAUCUCAGGGGGGGAAUCUGAAAAAAAGUUAGAAUCAGAGAGUACUUGCCCUAAAAUAUCUCUCAUCACAUUUUUUUCCAUUUUAUCUUGUUACAGUAAAUUCCACUAACUAGAGAUUCAUUUAAUCUAAACUAAUCUGGAAAAUUGGAAAUAUCUCUAGGAAGAUUAAAUAACUGUUAAACAUCCAUCUGAAGUGUAAAUUUGCUCAAUCAGGCCACCUUCCUCUUAAUCCUCGAAUUUAUUUGUAGUCAGAGAAUAGGAGUUGUGAUUGGCAGAGGGGGGAAGGUAAGAGGAGCCUGGAGUCGGGGUGGAGGCUUGCUCCAGUGGGAGAUGAGGCAUGGUAGGGAACAGGAGCAGAGAAGAGCACACAGAAGUGCAAAAAUCCAAGUGUAAAACAGAAAUAUUUAACCAAUUAUCUAAUUCCCAAUGGCUUUGUUUUUCCUUUUCUUCUUCAUCCCUCCCUCCCCUUAUGGUCUUCUGCUCACGACCACCAGGAAAGCUGGGAUUAGAUUAGGCUACAUCA